AUUGAACGCUGGCGGAAUGCUUUACACAUGCAAGUCGAACGGCAGCACGGACUUCGGUCUGGUGGCGAGUGGCGAACGGGUGAGUAACAUAUCGGAACGUAUCCAAUAAUGGGGGAUAACUAAUCGAAAGGUUGGCUAAUACCGCAUACGCCCUACGGGGGAAAGCAGGGGAUCUUCGGACCUUGCGUUAAUGGAGCGGCUGAUAUCUGAUUAGCUAGUUGGUGAGGUAAAGGCUCACCAAGGCGACGGUCAGUAGCUGGGCUGCGAGGACGACCAGCCACACUGGAGCUGAGACACGGUCCAGACUCCUAGGGGAGGCAGCAGUGGGGAAUUUUGGACAAUGGGCGCAAGCCUGAUCCAGCCAUUCCGCGUGAGUGAAGAAGGCCUUCGGGUUGUAAAGCUCUUUCGCAAGGGAAGAAAACGUACUUUCUAAUAGGGAGUGAGGUUGACAGUACCUUGAUAAGAAGCACCGGCUAACUACGUGCCAGCAGCAGCCGCCG
rnacentral:rRNA from 1 species